rfam:Haliscomenobacter hydrossis DSM 1100, complete genome.
UAAGAAGCAAAACAAGGGCAUACGGGGGAUGCCUAGGCUCUCAGAGGCUACGAAGGACGUGGUAAGCUGCGAAAAGCUACGGGGAGUUGCAAACAAGCGUUGAUCCGUAGAUGUCCGAAUGGGGAAACCUGGCUGGUUGAAGACCAGUCGACACGCAAACCCAGGGAACUGAAACAUCUAAGUACCUGGAGGAAAAGAAAACGAAGUUGAUUCCGUAAGUAGUGGCGAGCGAAAGCGGACAAGCCCAUUAAGCUAGUUUUAGAGUAGUGGAAUGGUCCUGGGAAGACCAACCAAAGGGGGUGAUAGUCCCGUACACGAAAGUCUAAGAUUAGUGAAUUGAGUAGGGCGGGACCGGAGAAAUCCUGCCUGAAUAUGCCGGCACCAUCCGGUAAGGCUAAAUACUCCUGAGAGACCGAUAGUGAACCAGUACCGUGAGGGAAAGGUGAAAAGAACCGCAAGCAGCGGGAGUGAAAAGACCCUGAAACCGUAUGUCUACAAGCGGUCGGAGCGCAAGCGACGGCGUGCCUUUUGCAUAAUGAUCCUACGAGUUAUUCCUUACUAGCGAGUUUAAGUGCUUCAGGCACGGAGGCGUAGCGAAAGCGAGUCUGAAUAGGGCGUUUAGCUAGUAGGGAUAGACGCGAAACCGAGUGAUCUACCCAUGGGCAGGUUGAAGGUGAGAUAGUCUCUCACUGGAGGACCGAACCGGUAAACGUUGAAAAGUUUUCGGAUGACCUGUGGGUAGGGGUGAAAGGCUAAUCAAACUCGGAGAUAGCUCGUACUCCCCGAAAUGCAUUUAGGUGCAGCGUUGGGAAGAGUAUUGCGGAGGUAGAGCUACCAAUAGGGCUAGGGGGCUUCACCGCCUACCAACCCCUGAUGAACUCCGAAUGCCGUAAUAUUGCACCAGCAGUGAGGCUACGGGUGCGAAGGUCCGUGGCCAAGAGGGGAACAACCCAGACCAUCAGCUAAGGUCCCUAAAUUUGAGCUAAGUUGGAUAAACGAGGUGGGGAUGCUAUGACAGCUAGGAUGUUUGCUUGGAAGCAGCAAUUCAUUUAAAGAGUGCGUAACAGCUCACUAGUCGAGCGUUCCUGCGCGGAAAAUGAACGGGCAUCAAGCUCAAUACCGAAGCUAUGGACUCUACGGAGUGGUAGGGGAGCAUUCUAGUUGCGGCGAAGGUGUACUGCGAGGUAUGCUGGAGCGGCUAGAAAAGAAAAUGUAGGAAUGAGUAACGAAAAAAUGGGUGAGAUACCCAUUCGCCGUAAGACUAAGGGUUCCUCGUUCGAUGUUAAUCAGAACAGGGUUAGUCGGGUCCUAAGGAGCAGCCGAGAGGCGAAUCUGAUGGCAAUCUGGUAAAAAUUCCAGAACUUGCAUACACUAAAAAGGGGACGGGGUUGAGGAGAUUGCACGUACUGACGGAAUAGUGCGUUGAGCUGAAGCCUCUGGCGGAAGCGAGCGAUUGAAUGAGCCUCCAAGAAAAGCCGAAGUAUGCAACCCGUACCGUAAACCGACACAGGUAGUCGAGGAGAGUAUCCUAAGGCGCUCGAGUGAACCACGGUUAAGGAACUAGGCAAAUUAGCCCCGUAACUUCGGGAGAAGGGGCGCCUCGCGAGAGGCCGCAGUGAAGAGGUCCAGGCGACUGUUUAGCAAAAACACAGGACUCUGCCAAAUCGAAAGAUGAAGUAUAGGGUCUGACACCUGCCCGGUGCCGGAAGGUUAAGGAAGGGGCUUAGGGGCAACUCGAAGGUCUUGACUGAAGCCCCGGUAAACGGCGGCCGUAACUAUAACGGUCCUAAGGUAGCGAAAUUCCUUGUCGGGUAAGUUCCGACCUGCACGAAUGGUGUAACGAUCUGGACACUGUCUCAACCGUGAGCUCGGUGAAAUUGAAGUAUCGGUGAAGAUGCCGGUUACCCGCAAUGGGACGAAAAGACCCCGUGAACCUUUACUACAACUUCACGUUGGGUUUGAGCAUAAGAUGUGUAGGAUAGGUGGGAGGCUAUGAAGGGCAGACGCUAGUUUGUUUGGAGCCGUCCUUGAAAUACCACCCUUCUUAUGCUUAGAUUCUAACCGCAGGGACAGCGUGUGGUGGGUAGUUUGACUGGGGUGGUCGCCUCCAAAAGAGUAACGGAGGCUCGCAAAGGUACCCUCAGCAUGGUUGGUAAUCAUGCGCAGAGCGUAUGAGUAUAAGGGUGCUUGACUGAGAGACGGACGCGUCGAACAGGGACGAAAGUCGGCUCAAGUGAUCCGGUGGUUCCGCAUGGAAGGGCCAUCGCUCAAAGGAUAAAAGGUACUCCGGGGAUAACAGGCUGAUCUCCCCCAAGAGCUCACAUCGACGGGGAGGUUUGGCACCUCGAUGUCGGCUCGUCACAUCCUGGGGCUGGAGAAGGUCCCAAGGGUUGGGCUGUUCGCCCAUUAAAGUGGCACGCGAGCUGGGUUCAGAACGUCGCAAGACAGUUCGGUCUCUAUCUAUUGCGGGCGUUGGAAUAUUGAGGAGAUCUGAUUCCAGUACGAGAGGACCGGAUUGGACGAACCGCUAGUGUACCAGUUGUACUGCCAAGUGCACCGCUGGGUAGCUAUGUUCGGAACGGAUAAGCACUGAAAGCAUCUAAGUGCGAAGUCGACUCCAAGAUGAGUAUUCCUUAUUAGGGUCGUGGAAGAUUACCACGUUGAUAGGCUAUAGGUCGAAGUGUGGCAACAUGCGUAGCCGAGUAGUACUAAUUACCCGAAAGCUUCUUACG